UCUCCUGCUGCAUUGUGAAGAAACUGCUUGCUUCCCUCUCACCCUCUGCAGUUUCCUGAGGCCUCCCCAGCCAUGCGGAACUGCCAGAUGCAGUGCCUCAUGCCUGUAAUCCCAGCACUUUGGGAGGCUAAGGAGGGAGGAUUUCUUGAGCCUGCUUCCAUAUUGUAAACUGCCUUGGAACCAAUUACCACUACCAGGGAGACAAACUAUUGCUUAGAGGAUGCUGACAGGAGCAGCAUGUCAAAAUUGAAAGAAGGAGGAAGUUUAAGCUCUCCUCACUAUGAGUUUUCAAGUAUAAAAGACUUUUUCUUCCACGAUGUUGAGAACAACUGUGGACUGUUGUGACCAGGACAACAGGGAAGCUUGCAGCAAGAUAGCUCCAGGUUGGAUUCAUGCUUCGCACCCCAAGGGCUGCCAGCCAGAGAGGAGGAGAAGCAAUCACUCCUGCAGUUUCUGAACACUACACAGACGCCAGGUAGCUUCUUCAGGACAACAGCCCUCUGAGGAGGCAGGAAGAGGAGGCUUCUCUUUCAGCAGCCGGAGCUGCUGAGAUCUCUGGGCAGAUUAAGCUCUCUCUAAUGGAUGGGCUCCAGCCUGGCACACUCAGUGGAGAGGGAUCCACUCGUCCAUCAUCAACACAAUAUGGUCCUCCCUUCACUUCACAGAGUCCUCUUGCUAUUGAAAAGGCUUUUUUGCCUUCUCAAGUUUCUUUGUCAACAGUCUACAGGAAGAAGCUCAGGCCGCCACCGGCAGAGGUGAAUGCAAGCUCACGUUUUAUUUCUGACUGCUUAAUCAUUGCCUCGAUCACUGCUCAAGCUCUGCCUUUGUUUCCAAAGGUUACAUGUGGGAAAACUUCUUUUUCUAUGCUGAAAUUAAUAGGGAGGCAAAGAUGAGUCCACUGAUAAGCAGAGCCUUAAAACUCACAUAGAGAAAGAACUUUGCUGGAGUGUGUGUGAGUGAGCCACAAAGGAAUCAGAUAGUGUGAUGGCAGUUAUCAUUGCAGGUUAAGACACUUCUACAAAUAUUUCAACACCUCCAUAUACUCACUCCUCUCCCCCUGAGUCAAGAGACUCAGCUACCAAGAGAGGAAGCUCUAAAAAAACAGAAGCCUCAAACAAACAAACAA
rnacentral:lncRNA from 1 species